rnacentral:lncRNA from 1 species
UUUUGUUUCAAUAAGAACAAUCAAAAGUAUUAGUAUUGUAAACAAAAUAACUAAUAUUGAAAGCAAAACAUCAACUAAAAAGUAUUGAGGUCAAAAAUAUAUAUAUUGCAAAUAUAGUCUUUUGAAAUGCAUGUUUGAGUGGACGCACGUGAAAGCGCAACACCAUGUUGACUAAACAACCUAGCCCGGAUAUAUUCGCCUAAUAAUUAUUUAUGUGAGCUUUUUUCAUUUCGGAUAAGAAAAGGUUCAAUAGUUAGUAGCUAGCCAACCAAUCAAAUGGCACUGGCUAGACGAGCUACCUUUACAACAAGGAAGACACCAGGAAAAGGCUACGGUAAAAUGUUUUGUGCCUUGUAACAGUUAAAUAACUAGCUAUUUUGCGUUCUAUUGUCUGUCUGCAGAGCUGCCAACUCUCACGCUUUCGCCGUGUGACACGUUUUUGCCUGUUUUCACACGCACUCUCGCCACACAUCCAAUUUCUCACGCAAAUAAAUCCGGCCGAGACUCGAUUGUUCCUUUUUCAAACUCCCGACGGUAGAUGGCGCUGAUAAGCGCCAUUGAACCCUAUGCGUUGCACCCUGAUGUUAGCUACAGGAGAAGAGAUACAAUUACCGCGAAAGACAACGGGAGAAGAAACGGUCACUACCUUGAGAAGUCUGACGAGCUGAGACUAGUGCUUUAAACAAACAUUUCACAACACCUUCAUCAUACACUUGCUGCUGUCGCCAAGUUCGUCCUGGUGUUUCCCCAUGCAAACGCAGACGCUGAGAGGGUGUUUUAAGUUGUGGGACUGAACAAAACCAAGAGAAGAAACAGCCUAGCAUUGGAUGGCACCCUGUCCUCAAUAAUGACCAUAAAGAUGGCCAAUCUGGAGCCCUGCUUCAAAUGGGAGCCCCCCUCCGAGAUCAUCAAGGCCUCCAAGAAGGCCACAGGCCAGUAUAACCAUGCCCACAGAUCAUAGACCAGGACUUUAACCAGCUUCUGAUUAUUCCUCAUUUUGUUGUUAUUUUUGUAAUGCAUUCAUCUGUUUUAUGCUUGGAAAAAGUUGUACUGUUUAAGUACUUUAAGCACUUUGUUGCACUUUAUUUGUUACUGAUGGACCAUUUGGUGGGCUUUGAAUGAAGAAUAAUGUCCCUCCCU